AGGACGAACGCUGGCGGCGUGCUUAACACAUGCAAGUCGAGCGGUAAGGCCUUUCGGGGUACACGAGCGGCGAACGGGUGAGUAACACGUGGGUGAUCUGCCCUGCACUCUGGGAUAAGCCUGGGAAACUGGGUCUAAUACCGGAUAUGACCUGCUCUCGCAUGGGGGUGGGUGGAAAGAUUUAUCGGUGCAGGAUGGGCCCGCGGCCUAUCAGCUUGUUGGUGGGGUAAUGGCCUACCAAGGCGACGACGGGUAGCCGACCUGAGAGGGUGACCGGCACACUGGGACUGAGACACGGCCCAGACUCCUAUGGGAGGCAGCAGUGGGAAUAUGCACAAUGGGCGAAAGCCUGAUGCAGCGACGCCGCGUGAGGAUGAAGGCCUUCGGGUUGUAAACCUCUUCAGCAGGACGAAGCGACAAGUGACGGUACCUGCAGAAGAAGCACCGCUAACUACGUGCCAGCGACGCCGAC
rnacentral:rRNA from 1 species